rnacentral:lncRNA from 1 species
GGCCUGGUUUGCCAAGGAUCUGAGAGAAACUUUGCACUGAUGCUCAGCACUGGGGUCCCCGAAGGUCUGCAUCACCACGGCUGAGCCCUGAACACACCAGAGGCCUGCUACAAAGCAUGUCGAUCCUGUAAUGUCUGCUGGCAAGAGCAGAGAUGUGCUGGGAGGAGAGACAAGUUACUGCACGGAGCUGCCCUGGUGUCUUGUGGAAUUAAAUAGGCAAUAAAUCAGGUCUGACAGAAAAAAAAUAAAUGAUUUUUUAAAAUUGCAUCAUGCUCAUUACAAGCAUGCACUUCAGUUUACCAAAUCACACAGCGCUCUCAGUGCUGUUAUGUGGGUUGUUCAUCUACAUACUUCCUUGUUACAACUCAUCUUAGGCAACAGAUAACCUGAUACUAUCAUAACAUGUGGGUAAGGCAAUCAAAAUAGCAUUCAUCUGUAUCAAAUGUGACUGGCGAGAGCAGGAACCCUGCCAAGCAGCAGCCCCGCAUCACCCAGCAUGAAGCUGUGAGUUUAUGGCUAAGGAGCUCGGCAGUGGUUAAUCCUGUUGUCAUCUGAAUUAAUUUUUAAAGGAGGUGUGUGUGGGGGGAACCCGGCAGCUGCAUAAUAAGCUUAAAAUCUUGAGAUGGGGAGAAAUGUGUGUAUUUCACGUGUGCCUGUUUGGGGGCAGCGCCGUGAAUGCCCUUUUGCUGUAGGAGGAUUGUUUUCCUGGAGGAGACGGGUGGCAAUUCUGCUUGCUCCAGCCACAAGCUGAGCCUGUGUGUGCUGAAAGCCUGAGAUGUAAAUCAAGGCUCCUCUAAUAUAAGCACUGGCCAGUACUCAGGGAGUGAUUUUGGUCGGCACCCCUCCUUCUGGGGCAGAUCUUGCUCGAGUCAGAGCUACCCAAAGGCAGCCUUGGCAGACGCAUUGCAGACUGGGGCUGCCCGAUAGCAUCUGGCACUUCUGGCAGGAUAUUCUGGGAAUUAUCUCCGGCCUCUGCAAGCGCUGUGCUCAGCCAAGCGUGAGGAGCUUUGGCUCCCGGUGCACAUACUUGCAGCAGGGACAUCGGCAUCUGGCUGAACCUGAAAGCUCAUCAUCCUCGCUGGAGGAAGGAGCUCUCCCCCAGGACCUGGGUUUCAGGAUGGAGCAGCAGCUACACCCUGCGAGAACGUCACUUGGCUGCUGCCAGAGCAAAAGCGAAGGGGUUCAGCCAUCUCGCCACCGAGACACUGCAAUUACUGAGCUACUGUAAAACAAGAUCUGCCAAGGAUAUUACAGCUGCUUUUCCCUCGUAAAGUCAAGGGUGAAGAAGCUGCGGGAACAUGGCUUGUGGCCAGGAGCCUGAUAAAGAUGCAAGGAAAAGCGACCAUUCCCAGGGGAAUUAACCUCCGUGGCCACUUGCUGCAGCUCUGCUUGUCUGAAUCAUAGAUGCUGCUGCAGCAUUCGUGCUGCACGACUGCAGAAGCUGCUCUUCCUCAUGGCCUGGAUCACUGGGAGGGGGUUAUUGCUUAUCUAAGAUGGUCUGUUCAAAGCAGAGCAGCAGUUGGUAUAUGGAAAAAAUUGCUGCUGCUGACUGGGGACCUUUGAUUAAGAUUUUAACACCUGCUAAGGAACCUGUCUUCAUGCCCAACAGGACAGAGCAGCCAGAGCUGGUGGGGAGCUUGCAGGAAGGAGAUGAGCUCUCCUGCCCUCCCCAAAGGCUGUUGUGUUUGUGCCUUUGUGUCUAACACUUCUUCGGGAUGGAGCACGGCGAUGAAGUGCUCUGUGCUCUCAGCCUUGGGAGGGGGCUUGGUAAAAGACAGGACAGGAUUUGGGGCCUGGCAGAGCUCCGCUGCUCUCCCAGGGUCCGUGUGUGGCCGGCAGGAAGCAGUGUAAUUGGCCAAGUAUGCACAAGACAAGUGCAGCACUUGGGGUGGCGAGCGACUUGAAGGGCAAAAUGUCCAAAAAAGCAGAGCUUUUGGACACUGAGCUCCAGCCUCUGCCAGUACAGCCUUGGCUGCUUCCAGGGCCACUUUACCCAAGCAGCGCUGGCUUUCUGCUUGGAGGGCAGAGAGAACAGGUUGUGAUAUAAAAUAUUUACUUAUUGCAAUUUAUUAUUUAUUGAGUCGAACCUAUUGCAACUCUCUAAGUGGAAGCAAAAGUAUCCCAUGUCUUAUCUUCUGCCAAAGACUUUCUUGCCAUGUCUGUGAUCCACUUGUAUUUAGAUCAAUCUUUGACUAUGCACUAAUGUUCAUUUCAAAUAAGAAUAAAUCAUGUUUUACAAGGCUUCA